CCUGGCUCAGUCAGGAAAAUGCAAACUACUAGAUUAAUUCUUUGGCAAUUCUGGUGCUAUGCCCCAGAAAAAGUACUGCUUUCUGACUUCAGUGUGUCUGACAGGGAAGUCUGCUUUCAGACUCCUGGCCUCCCUUAGGUACAAUGACCUUUUAAAACCUCUCAACAGGGAUUAGGUGAAAGUUGACUUCUCUCUUAGAGUACCUUUAUUGGAUGAGAAGGGGAAGAAGCAAAGGUGUGGUUUUUCCAACAUAUUCUUUUGAAAGGGAUUCCAACAGGUGGAGAAGAUUGAAGAUGACUAUGAAUAACCUCGUGAACUUUGAAAGACAAGAGAGCCAGCCUCCAGAAGUCUGGCAGCUGUAGAGUUGGUUGAACUAGAUGAUCACCAAGGUUCCUGACAAUUCUCAAAAUCAGUGAUUCUGUGAGGUUUCCUGACUGAGCAUUCUGCCCUCCCUUCUAGUCGUCUUGCUGCUGAAACAAAUGCAGAUACAGAAAGGAAUGAUAUAUCACUUAAAGAAGCUCUAAACUGCUGUGAGGAAUGAAGAACUCUUGUGUUUAAUAUUUUGCUUUGAAAACACUGUUUCUUCCAUGAGCAGAAAUAAUUUUGCAGUAAGAAUUUUAAAUGAAUCUAAAGUUAGUUUAAAAUAUAUAGUUAAGGUUACUUGAGAAAUAGACAUCCUUCUUAGGGGAAUUUUGAGAUGCAGCAUUUACAAAGGCGUUUUGUUUUCUGUGGGGGGGGGGUGUGGGUGUGUGUGAUAGAAAUAUCACUGGGUUUGGUGUCAGAUGACCUUGGUUUAAAAGCCAGUUCUGUCACUCAAUAUUUGUAUGACCUUGAUCGAGUCACUUGGCAAGUGUCAUACUGAUUUUGCUUUUGUAUAAUGUAGGAGGUAGGAUGAUUUCUAACAUCCCUAUCUAAGUUCAAAUGCUAUUAUUCUAAUACUUGUACACAAAUAAAACUUAGUGUCACCUCACAUAUCAUCUGAAUCAAGUAUAGACUUGAUUGCCCUUUCCAUUUGAAAGGGACCCAGAUAUGGCACUUAUGGGAAAACAAGCACCUAUGCAACUUUACAUUAUAUGAAAUCAUAGACAUAAAAAGUCUGCCAAUUGUAUUACUAUUUCAAAGAAAUAAAAAUGUCUUUAAGAAAGUCUCAAUAUGUAACAAUUCCAGUUUUUUGUCCUUCAGGGCUUUUUUGUUUUUUUGUUUUUCUAUUUUAGUAGAUAAAGAUAAUUUAAGUAAUAGGAUUUCCCCCCCCCCAAGGUAAUUGUAUCUCAUCGGCUUCUGCUAUUUCUAAUGAAGACACAAUCCGGUGCCCCUGACAGAUCAAAUCUGUUGAUGUUUCCUAUGAUACCCAUAGCCAAAGUAUGGAUUGUUGAUCACAUUAAAUAAGUGUUUGUUUUCCUUUUUGUCUGAUUCAGGACAGAGACUGUAACUUAACAGAUAAAAAGGUCUGGUGAGCUUAACCUAUAGAAUGGCAUAGUCCUGUAUGUCUUCGGUUUACUAAAAGUCACACAUCAUGACUUAGCAGUUAAAAUAAAGGCCUGGAAGCCUGGAAACUCAAUUUUAGUUCCAACCUUGGUUUUAAACCUUAGUGUAAAUUUCUUGUUUCAAUUUUCUUAUAAAUAAGGAUACCAAACAGUUGUCUCCUUUUAAAUAUUUUAAAAAUUCUUUCUACCUUAUCAGCAAUGUUAGGUCAUUUUGGGGGCUUAAAGUAAGAUUUGCUUAAAUAACUGUAAUGCAAGUCUACAACUAUAAUACAAUAUAGAUCACUCCUUAAAUAUUUUUAUACAAUAGUACAUGAAAACCUACCAUCCUUGUUAUCUGUCAUGUUUGUAAUAAAUGCACUAUAAUAUGCCCAAUAGAAUGGCAAUGCAUCUUUUUUCUUUUAUGUUAACACACAAAAAUAUUUCUUAUAAGCAGCUACAAAGACAAAUUUUUAUGGUUGCAUAAAAUUUCUUCGAAAUACUUUUAAGCGUCAAAAAAGCUUCAUGCUUGUGGAAUAAAUCUUGUGUCUGAUUCUUACGACCCUAGAGAAAAUCUAUAGUUGAUGUUUUAAAAAACUCUACUCAA